GGAGGGGCCGGAGCUGCCGAGGGCCGGAGCUGCGGAGGGGCCGGGGCUGCCGAGGACCGGAGCUGCGGAGGGGCCGGAGCUGUGGAGGGGCCGGAGCUGCGGAGGGGCCGGGGCUGCGGAGGGGCCGGAGCUGCGGAGGGGGCCGGGGCUGCCGAGGGGGCCGGGGCUGCCGAGGGGCCGGGGCUGCGGAGGGGCCGGAGCUGCGGAGGGGCCGGAGCUGCGGAGGGGCCGGAGCUGCCGAGGGGCCCCACCGCCCGCGCCGCCACCCGCGGCCGUCAGGUGUCGCUGCCGCGCCGCUCCCCGCCCGGCUCGGCUCCAGCCCCGGCCCGGCCCAGUCCGGCCCCGGCCCCUCCUCGGCUCCAGCCCCGGCCCGGCCCAGUCGAGCCCCGGUCCCUCCGCAGCUCCAGCCCCGGCCCAGUCCAGCCCCGGCCCCUCCUCUGCUCCAGCCCCGACCCGGCCCAGUCCAGCCCCGGCCCCUCCUCGGCUCCAGCCCCGGCCCGGCCCAGUCCGGCCCCGGCCCCUCGCUGCGGCCGCAGAGCCCCGCGUUCCGCGGCGGGCGGUUCUGUGGCAGCUGCGUGGGAACAUUCUUGGCGGUCCUGGGCUCUCCAGGGAGAGGGCUCCUGGUCAGAAAGGGACAAGGACGACUUUCAGCCGGGGCGGGGGGGGCGGGUUUUAUUUUUAAAAUCCGUGUAAAAAUGCUGCAAAUAAAGCCCAAGCCGGCUGACGGGCCCGGAGGCUCAUUCGCAGUCAGCGCCGGGCAGUCCCGCUCAGUUACUGCGGAGAGCUGCGGCGCCGCAGAAUUCCUUGGGAAUUGCCUUCGUGACAGCCCUGCUGUGACCCUCGAUAUCGCUGUGUUAGCCACAGCUUUCUGCUGGGACCUGGUUGAAAAACAACAACAAAAAAAAAAUCUGCAGGGCUUGCGAUUGUCAGCAAUGGCAAGAACCUGGUUUUUGUCAGCCCCAGACCAUAACCAAGCUCCCGCUGCUCUGCCGGCCAUCUCCAUCGCUGUCCCAGCACUGCUGCCAAGCCGUGUGUGCUCAGGGACUGUCCCUAAGCGUUUCUGGUCUGAGACAGCGAAGUUCUUCCUUGCUAUCCAGUAG
rnacentral:lncRNA from 1 species